rnacentral:rRNA from 1 species
AUGGCUCGUGGAGAUCAUCAAAAUGAUGAUGAUGAUUUCAUGGAUCCACCACAGCGUAAUCGGGCAACUGGACGGAAAAAAGAGGGUGAUGAGAAGAAGAAACGUAUUCGCAACAGAGCCUCCCAAGAACGACUGACUGCAUUGACUGACAAAUUCACCGACGAUCUGAAGGGAGCUGCUGCUGAGAUGGGUAUGCAGGCUCUGAUGGAUGUCUGGUGCACGAACCUUGUCAACCCUGUAUGCGACUGGCUUGGUGAGAUCUACCACCCUGCCUCCAGGGAAUUCAUGAUUCCAGGAUGUGGAAGACUACCGUUGAACGAGGAAUCCGUGUUCUGCACUUUGGGUGUGCCUCGUGGACAUAUCAAAGUCCCGUACGAGGCCAUGACGACGCAUGGAGAUGUUUUCAAGAUGAAGCUACUCAUGUACCUCAUCUCAGCUGUUUUCGCGCCGACCACUUCUCUUCGCCCAAGCAACAAAUGCUUCCCCAUCCUGGCGGAUCUGAAAAAUGUGAAGAACAUGAAUUGGUGUAAGUUUAUUGCCGACUUCCGGCACGAUGCAUUCUCAAGCAAGAUGUACCAAAAGGGUUGUCGACUGCAUUUAAUGCUCAUGUAUGUCGACUGUCUUGAUCUGUCCACCAUGGAUUUCACUCGGAUAGGAGGCCCGCCGCCUACGCACAAGUUUGCUGUUUCUGCAUGGACUAUCAACGUUGUGCUUGCCGCAGACAGGCUGAUGGCCAAGCAUGCCAUAGACUACAUUUUGUUUGGGGGGCCUCAAAACUUUGAAAAGUGGAUGGACGUGCACUCAGCUCCGUCUUGCCCUACUGAGGCGAGGGCACCUGUUGAGCAUCUAAUUGGGCAGUUUGCAUCCGGAAUGACCGGCUUGCUCGGGAAGUUGGUUGAGUGGUGGACGUCCCUCAGUGGCUCUGACAGCGACGCAGUUGCGAGGUAG